CAGGACUCGCAAGACUCCUUCAACCCUGUGAACUUACUACAAAGCACGUUGCUUCGGCGGGUGUCCCGGGUGUCCCGGGGCGCUGUGCCCGCCGGCAGCCUACAAAUUCUGUUUCUUUGCGUUGGCAUCUCGAGUAAACCAAAUAAGUUA
rnacentral:misc_RNA from 1 species